rnacentral:sRNA from 1 species
AAAGGGGCCAUGCUCUCUAAACCCCAAAGGGGUGACAAUAGUAUGGUCAGCAGCAGUGCUUCCACAUUGCCCUACCGAUGUACCUCAACCCUAGACUAGCAGGACCUCCUUUAGGAGUAACCAGCUAUUUAGUCACCGUGUCCCUUUUGCUUCUCUAUU